AUUGAACGCUGGCGGCAUGCUUUACACAUGCAAGUCGAACGGUAACAGGGAGCUCGCUCCGCUGACGAGUGGCGAACGGGUGAGUAAUAUAUCGGAACGUACCCAAGAGUGGGGGAUAACGUAGCGAAAGUUACGCUAAUACCGCAUACGAUCCAAGGAUGAAAGCAGGGGACCCGCAAGGCCUUGUGCUCCUGGAGCGG
rnacentral:rRNA from 1 species